rnacentral:rRNA from 1 species
GUCGAACGGUAGCAGGCCUUCGGGCGCUGACGAGUGGCGGACGGGUGAGUAACGCGUAGGAAUCUGCCUCAUAGUGGGGGACAACGUGGGGAAACUCACGCUAAUACCGCAUACGCCCUACGGGGGAAAGCGGGGGAUCUUCGGACCUCGCGCUAUGAGAUGAGCCUGCGUUAGAUUAGCUAGUUGGUAGGGUAAAGGCCUACCAAGGCGACGAUCUAUAGCUGGUCUGAGAGGACGAUCAGCCACACUGGGACUGAGACACGGCCCAGACUCCUACGGGAGGCAGCAGUGGGGAAUAUUGGACAAUGGGCGCAAGCCUGAUCCAGCAAUACCGCGUGUGUGAAGAAGGCCUUAGGGUUGUAAAAGCACUUUCAAUUGGGAGGAAAAACCUGUCGGUCAAUACCCGGCAGCUUGACAUUACCUUUAGAAGAAGCACCGGCUAACUCCGUGCCAGCAGCGCGGUAAUACGGAGGUGCAAGCGUUAAUCGGAAUUACUGGGCGUAAAGCGUGCGUAGGCGGUUCGUU